UAAAUUGGAAAUAAACAGAGAGUUGUAGAGGAAGGGCAGGGUGACUGGUCAAAUGAGAAUCUUUGAUCAGAUUUCAUUAGGUCAUCUCAUGGAGAAUCAGGCUAAAAUCUACUAUUGGACAAAGAGUUUCUCUCCUACAGGCCAUUGGGAGACACACUUCUGAACACCACCAUUGGAAAAUCACACAUGCUGAAAUGGGAGAGUUCCUUGACCCCCUUGCAGGAUAUGUGACAGGGGUGUGGCUCAUCUGUUCGGCUAGAGUGCAUACUCAAACCCCCCUUAUGAGACAAGGAGUAUGCAGACAGAAGGUGCAGGAACUGGGAAGCAAAAUAUAAACUAGUUAAUUUGAUCUCCAAGAGUUAAGCGGUUUUAAUAUUACUGACAGUAAUAUCAGCAGUGGUGUUGGAACCCCAUGAUCUCAUGAAUGAUAGAUAGCAACUGCUUACUGGACAUUGAAGCUUUAUGGCCAGCUGCCAAAAAAAUAAAUGCACCUUAAUUUUUAAAUUGAAUUAUAAAGCCAAAAAUAUCCUAUUGCUCUAUUCCUCUUAUUUUGGUGUUUACAUGUGACUUUAUAAUUUCCUUCACUUGAAAGAUUUUAACUUUAAAGGAAACUUUACUCUGAACGUUUAGGACAAUUCAUAGAUAAUCAAAUUGAUUAUCAUGUUUUCAAUGUUAAAUAUUACUUCAUAUGUCUUUUUACAACCUUCAGAAUAAGAAAGCCAGCUAUGAAAUACCAAGUCUUGACUAGUAGUGCCACCUAGCAUCACAAAGAAAAAGUUGUUCAACUACUUUGCAAAGCAUUGGAAAUUUAUCAAAUCAUCUAAUAUACUGUCUCCUUGAUCCUUAAUCCAGAGGAAAAUAAGCAGACAUGAUCAAUUAGAAGAAAUGUACACAAGACCUAUGUAAUUUUAGAGAUAGUAUACUACAUAUUAUGAAUGUUUGUGUUUUAGUAAGAUGUAGUUAUGAGAUGUAGCAGUAAGAUAUAAUUUCUGGUUUGCUGACUGAUAUGUUACCGGUUUUUCCUAUAAUUUAAGAAAACAUAUUGGGAUUCAAAUGAAUAAAAAUAAUGUUUGUGUACUGAAA